rnacentral:rRNA from 1 species
GACGGAGGAUGCAAGUGUUAUCCGGAAUCACUGGGCGUAAAGGGUGCGUAGGCGGGUCUUUAAGUCAGGGGUGAAAUCCUGGAGCUCAACUCCAGAACUGCCUUUGAUACUGAAGAUCUUGAGUUCGGGAGAGGUGAGUGGAACUGCGAGUGUAGAGGUGAAAUUCGUAGAUAUUCGGAAGAACACCAGUGGCGAAGGCGACUUACUGGACACAUAUUGACGCUGAGGUGCGAAAGCGUGGGGAGCAAACAGG